rnacentral:rRNA from 1 species
AACGAACGCUGGCGGCAUGCCUAACACAUGCAAGUCGAACGAGACCUUCGGGUCUAGUGGCGCACGGGUGCGUAACGCGUGGGAACCUGCCCUUAGGUUCGGAAUAACUCCCCGAAAGGGGUGCUAAUACCGGAUAAUGUCUUCGGACCAAAGAUUUAUCGCCUUUGGAUGGGCCCGCGUUGGAUUAGCUAGUUGGUAGGGUAAAAGCCUACCAAGGCGACGAUGCAUAGCUGGUCGGAGAGGAUGAUCAGCCACACUGGGACUGAGACACGGCCCAGUCUCCUACGGGAGGCAGCAGUGGGGAAUAUUGGACAAUGGGCGAAAGCCUGAUCCAGCAAUGCCGCGUGAGUGAUGAAGGCCUUAGGGUUGUAAAGCUCUUUUACCCGGGAUGAUAAUGACAGUACCGGGAGAAUAAGCUCCGGCUAACUCCGUG